AAAUGCCAAUAGGGUGUACCGCCAAAGUAUAGCAGCAGCGGGAAAAUUUAAAUGGCAUUUUAAAUCGAUGUACAAGAAACAACUAGUAAAAGAGAAGUUAUGUUUACCAAUUUUACUGUUUGAACUUACUCAAAAGGAUGACAGUACUCGACAAUGGAUAUUUACCGAGCUGUUUUCAACACCAGAACAUGUCAAGGUACAAUGCUCUGUAACAUGGCCUCGUCUGUUGCAUUUCCCGCUGAAAAUUGUCAGGUUUGAGACAUAAUUCUUAUAUAUAAUGUUAAAAUGUGAACUGUAGGAAACUUACCAUGUAUAUGUGGUUAAGAAAUCUUGGGAAUUUUUUUCAUCACAAGAAGGUCGGAAUGAAAUGUUAUCAUUGCUGUAUGUGUUGUUAGACAAUGAAGCAUACCGAUUGACUGAACUUUCUGAGCAUUUUUCUUCAUCUGAAGAGCUCUGAUUAUAGAGAUAAAGUGUGGUUAAAAUGAAAAAUAAAAAAGCUGUGGGUUUAAA